AUUAUGGCUCAGGAUGAACGCUGGCGGCGUGCCUAACACAUGCAAGUCGAACGGGGUUAAGGGAAAUUUCGGAUGGAACUUAACUUAGUGGCGGACGGGUGAGUAACGCGUGGAUAACCUGCCUCACACUGGGGGAUAGCAGCUGGAAACGGCUGGUAAUACCGCAUAAGACCACAGCACCGCCAUGGUGCAGGGGUAAAAGAUUUAUCGGUGUGAGAUGGAUCCGCGUCUGAUUAGCCAGUUGGCGGGUAACGGCCACCAAAGCGACGAUCAGUAGCCGGCCUGAGAGGGUGAACGGCCACAUUGGGACUGAGACACGGCCCAAACUCCUACGGGAGGCAGCAGUGGGGAAUAUUGCACAAUGGGCGCAAGCCUGAUGCAGCAAACCGCCGCGUGAGUGAAGAAGUAUUUCGGUAUGUAAAGCUCUAUCGGCAGGGAAGAAAGGCCCGAAAGGGAGAUGACGGUACCUGACUAAGAAGCCCCGGCUAACUACGUGCCAGCCGCCGC
rnacentral:rRNA from 1 species